rnacentral:tRNA from 3 species
CGGGGCAUAGCGCAGUCUGGUAGCGCAACUGGUUUGGGACCAGUGGGUCGGGGGUUCGAAUCCCUCUGCCCCGACCA